AUGACUCAGAUCCCCUCCUCUCUCCCUCGAUCCACCCCUCCCCUCACGCCGCCGCCGUCCCCCGCACCGCCGCCUCUCCCUUCACGAUCCAGCCCCGCUCCCUUCACGCCCUCGACGCCGCCACUGACGGCGCCCGACCCUCCCCUCGAUCUCAGAUCGCAUCGAGCUCCCCCUCUCCCUCCCUUCUCCCUCCCACCUCUCGAAGCUCCCGCGUCCCACCGUCGAACUCGGGCAGCCGAGCGGCAGGGGCAUCCCCGGCGCCGUCGAUCCCGGCCAUGGCCCGCCCCCACGCCCCAGCCUCGCGGAAUCAAGCCCGGCCCCUCCGUCCGCGACCUCCUUAUCCCUCCACGGCCAUGGCCUCGGCCUCCCUUCCCCGACCGCCAAGACGUUGGCGCGGAGGCUGCUCUCCACCAGCCCCAGCAAAGGUACUGCGCAGUCGCACCGGCGGAUGGCAAGUUCAUGCCGGUCAUCGACAGGAAGGCCGGCUACUCCUUCGUCUACCCAUUCGGAUGGCAGGAGGUGUCUGUGCAAGGGCAGGACAAGGUGUACAAGGAUCUGAUCGAGCCGCUGGAGAGCGUCAGCAUCAACAUGACCCCCGCCACCAAGGAAGACAUCCUCGACCUCAGCCCGCCUGACCCCGCCGUCCGCGAGUGGACCUCAAGACUGCCGUGA
rnacentral:rRNA from 1 species